rnacentral:rRNA from 1 species
AUUGAACGCUAGCGGGAUGCUUUACACAUGCAAGUCGAACGAGUGGCGGACGGGUGAGUAAUAUAUUGGAACGUGCCCAAUAGCGGGGGAUAACUACUCGAAAGAGUGGCUAAUACCGCUUACUAUUGGAGCGGCCGAUGUCGGAUUAGCUAGUUGGGGGGGUAAAGGCUCACCAAGGCAACGCUCCGUAGCUGGUUUGAGAGGACGACCGGCCACACUGGGACUGAGACACGGCCCAGACUCCUACGGGAGGCAGCAGUGGGGAAUUUUGGGCAAUGGGGGAAAGCCUGAUCGAGCAAUGCCGCGUGAGUGAGAAGGCCUUCGGGUUGUAAAGUACUGUUGGCAGAGAAGCGGUAUCUAAAGAGUAAGCAACGGCUAACUACGUGCCAGCAGCCGCGGUAAUAC